rnacentral:sRNA from 1 species
UCAGAUCAGGAACUGGAGAUCACCGUCGA